GACGAACGCUGGCGGCGUGCCUAAUACAUGCAAGUCGAACGCUUUUUCUUUCACCGGAGCUUGCUCCACCGAAAGAAAAAGAGUGGCGAACGGGUGAGUAACACGUGGGUAACCUGCCCAUCAGAAGGGGAUAACACUUGGAAACAGGUUUUAAUACCGUAGAACACUAUUUUCCGCAUGGAAGAAAGUUGAAAGGCGCUUUUGCGUCAAUGCUGGAUCGACCCGCGGUGCAUUAGCUAGUUGGUGAGGUAACGGCUCACCAAGGCAACGAUGCAUAGCCGACCUGAGAGGGGGAGCGGCCACACUGGGCCUGAGACACGGCCCAGACUCCUACGGGAGGCAGCAGUAGGGAAUCUUCGGCAAUGGACGAAAGUCUGACCGAGCAACGCCGCGUGAGUGAAGAAGGUUUUCGGAUCGUAAAACUCUGUUGUUAGAGAAGAACAAGGAUGAGAGUAGAACGUUCAUCCCUUGACGGUAUCUAACCAGAAAGCCACGGCUAACUACGUGCCAGCAGCCGCGGUAA
rnacentral:rRNA from 1 species